UAGCUCAGUUGGUAGAGCAUGGUGUUUGCAACACCAGGGUUGUGGGUUCAAUUCCCAC
rfam:Salmo salar isolate Sally breed double haploid chromosome ssa09, whole genome shotgun sequence.